UACGUAGGGGGCAAGCGUUGUCCGGAAUUACUGGGCGUAAAGGGCUCGUAGGCGGCCAACUAAGUCAGACGUGAAAUCCCUCGGCUUAACCGGGGAACUGCGUCUGAUACUGGAUGGCUUGAGUUUGGGAGAGGGAUGCGGAAUUCCAGGUGUAGCGGUGAAAUGCGUAGAUAUCUGGAGGAACACCGGUGGCGAAGGCGGCAUCCUGGACCAACACUGACGCUGAGGAGCGAAAGCCAGGGGAGCAAACGGG
rnacentral:rRNA from 1 species